ACAGCAACCAUGACUUUGGUCUCCAUCUUCAUCUGGACGCUCACCCUCUGGACUCAAGGAUCCAGUGGUCAGGUGACUGUGACUCAGACUCCAGCAGUGAAAACUGUUUCUCCAGGAGACUCAGUUACCAUCAGCUGUAGAACCAGCAGUGCAGUGUACAAAAGUGGCACCUAUGACUAUCUAGCCUGGUAUCAGCAGAAACCUGGAGAAGCUCCUAAACUCCUGAUCUAUGCUGCUGCCAGUAGACAGUCAGGUAUUCCAGAUCGUUUCAGUGGGAGUGGAUCUGGAUCUGACUUCACUCUGACCAUCAGUAAUGUCCAGACUGAAGAUGCAGGAGAUUAUUACUGUCUGAGUUAUCACAGUGGUGGUGUGUUC